rnacentral:lncRNA from 1 species
GUUGUCUAUCAGGGCAUCAGAAUUCUCUGAAGGCAGUCCCUGCCAUCUCAGCCACGACCCCUUUCCCAGACCGGUAAGCACCUAGAACUUUUAAGUACUCUUUUACUAUAAUAAUUUGUUUUGUUUGUUAUUUUUGUUUUUUAAUUUAAACGUCUCCAUAGUCUUCUACCACCUCUUACCGAGAUGACAAGCUCCAUCCUUGGUGUUGAGGCUCGAGGUCACUGCCCUCCGGCACAGGAAGCUAGCGAGGACAUCUGGCCAAUCAGGAGCCACGUCCUACUGCGCUCCCCUUUCCCAUUGGGCUCCCUUCCCUCUCCAAGGAAACACUGCUUAGAGUCUUCCGUUUCAGCGCGGAGAGGCAGUGGGCGUUGUUUGUGUGGGCUCAGUGUUUCGCUGCUUCCGUUGUCCACUCAGAGACUCCGUAAGUGAUGCAGACUCUUGAGAAGACCGAGCGAGAAGCACACCAGGGCGGGAAGAGGUGUGGCUCAAGUAAGAGCAGCGACAAUUGAGUUAGAGUCAGAGAAGCAAUUUGGGUUUAGAAAUCCCAGAAGUUGUUGGAGGUGGGUCCCUCACAGCUGCGCUCCCGCCCACCUGAAGGCCGGAAAAGAGGAAGGAGGGAGGAGGGCUGGGGCAGUUUGAAUCGCAGGUUCCGGAUGUUUGGUUGGGAGUUGUUUGGUCAGACCAAGACCUGGAUGCUCACGGGAGGCCGCGUGGGUGGAUCUAGGCUGCAGGAGCAGAGGCUGCACGGAGUCCUGACCCUGAUCCUGCUCCUUGACCACCAUUCCUGUGAGUGCAUCCUGUGCUGCAUCCUGCUAGCCUAUGGUGGCUCAGUACUCUACCCCUCCCCAAAAGAGCACAAAGGAGAAAGAGACCUACACUCUUCCUGUCAGUCUGAUCUGUGGUGAGCAGGAUUGUCUUUUUUCAUUUAUAAGAUAGCCUGACUUCUCUAUCUGUAGGGAGGUAGUGGAAGUGGCAGUGAAGAGCGUCUUUUCCUAACGUUUACUUAUUUAGUGUCUCAAGUCUACAAUGCCUAUAAUUCCUACUGUUUUGGGUGUUCUGAGGUAAAUUUAAGGAUGUCUCCACAUGGAGUAAUAAAGCAUAUGAGAGUAAUAAUUUCUAAAGUUAUCCACGUUAAACAAUGUACCUGUGUAGUGGAGUGCUUGCUUAGCACGUGCAAUAACCUGGAUUUGAUUCCUAGCAUUGCAAAAAAAAAAAAAAAAACAAUUUGAGGAGACUAGUUACAUGGAAGUGUAAGGACAAAUGUUUAAAGUGAAGCCACUUUCUGGAGGUGUAUUUGUAUUUAAUGCCUUAGUUGUUCUUGUGCACUAUCAAGAGUCUAUCUCACAUCAACCAAAGGCAGCUGUUAUUGACAUUUGGGUAUAUUUACUUGUAAUCUUUCCUCUAAUACUUAAUUACAUACAUACUUACUAAUCUGAAUUAGCACUAAUAGGUAUGUAUUCAUGCAUACAUAUACUCUAUGUCCAAAU